CCAAAAGCUGGCGACCGGCGCACGGGUGAGUAACACGUAUCCAACCUGCCUCAUACUCGGGGAUAGCCUUUCGAAAGAAAGAUUAAUAUCCGAUAGCAUAUAUUUCCCGCAUGGGUUUUGUAUUAAAGAAAUUCGGUAUGAGAUGGGGAUGCGUUCCAUUAGUUUGUUGGGGGGUAACGGCCCACCAAGACUACGAUGGAUAGGGGUUCUGAGAGGAAGGUCCCCCACAUUGGAACUGAGACACGGUCCAA
rnacentral:rRNA from 1 species